CUGAGUAGAAGGAGUUGGGACUCAGGGAAGAGACAGUUCAACUGAAGGAACAAAUUUCUUUCAUCAUUGGGAUAGGAUGAAGGAAAGACUACAAGCAAAAGCAAGGGGAUGAAAGAAAGCCAGACAAUGUGAUUCAGACUGUCUGGGAAGAAAAGGACAGGAGAGUGAGUAGGAGGAGCUAAGAUAGGUGAUGUAAUGGCUAUUGAAUCAGGAAGACCUAAAUUCAGUGCAUGAACCUGGAAUGCCUGUGGCUUCACCAAAUUCAAAACCUAAAAACAAACCCAGAGGAACUGAGAACCUGAUUACAUAAUUUGAUUCUCCAGACUUCUCCACAAUGUCCCAG
rnacentral:lncRNA from 1 species